UUGGAGCUGAAAUGAAAUGGAGGUUUCUUAUGAAAAUAGGCUUUGUUUGGCCGCAAGGCUGGUAAUUCAUAAACAAUAAGCAGGGCCCCAUUGUGUAGAUAAUAAUAUAUUCAUGCCGCUGGAGAUGGGGAGAAAGCAAAGCGAAGGCUGAGGAUAUAUAAGGAGGAUAGGCAGAGACAGCGAUGGAGAGUGAAGGGAUAAGAAGAAGGGGAGGAGAAAGACGAGGGGCUAAUAGCAAAUAGUGGGUCAGAGAAAAUUGGUAAUGGUUGGGUAGAGGCAGAGGAUUUAUUAGAGGAAGUGAAAGGACUGAAAGUGGGUAGGAGUGAAAAGUGAGUGGGAGUGAGGAAGGUGAAAAUAGGAGUAGGAGAGAUAGACAAGAUAAGAAUGAGGCGAGGAGGGCGGGAGAUUGGGAAAUGGUUUUGAGUACCUCUGAGUCUACAGGUGACUGGUUUGGCAGCAGUGGGGGGAGAAGGCAAGUGAGUGAAAGUAUCAUAGAAAAUGGAAAAGGUUGCACAGUGCAAAUCUGUGUGGUGUUGAGAGUGGUGGAGCUGAUAGAGUGGAUUGGUCAAGUGCAGAGACAGAGCAGUGGAAAAAGAAAAAAAACUCCACAGUCAAUGUCUGACAGGAGAGAGGAGAGAGGAGACCGGUGUGCCUGCGGUGGUGUAAACAUGACAGGAGGGCUUUUACCGCCCGGAGACAGGAGUGUGGCUGAGGAGAACAGAUUUCACCGUUGCUGGAAUAGCAUCUGCACUGGGACUUUUUUUUUAAGAGGACAAUCCCCAUCAAGUCUAUGACCAGCUGAACUGGAUCACUGUGGGGAGACUGUGAUUUACAGAUAGCUUCUCAUCCCUUUUACUGGCAGGCCAUCUUUACCUUGAGCACUGGGAGAUAGGUGGUGCGGGCGAAAAGACCUCUUGGAAAAUGUCAGCAACUGUCAGAGCCCCAAAUUUCUUCCAUUAACUCGUUCUUUCCUCUGUGAUGCUACCUUCUUGAAACCCCUUAAUUACAUAACCCCUUUCUCCUAUCACCCAAUGUUUUGUAUCCAAGUAAAGUGUAUGACUUCAGGUCGUGUGGCUUUUUUUUUUUUCUUAUAUAGCUUAAAAUUGAGGGUAACAAAACGAUCCUAGCCCCAUAUUUUUGCCCAUGUGAGCAAAAACAAACACACACAUGCACACUCGCACACACAAAAGGAAAAUGCAGUGACUGCAGCAGCUCUCCUUCCCUCAUGUUUUUCACUGGAGCCAGUUUCACUGUCUUAAUACUCUUAGUCCCGCAGCUGGCAUGUUGUCCAAGAACCUGCUGCAUUUUCAGAUUUGUAAAAUCCGUCAAAAUGCCUGUAAUGAAUAUUUCUACAGCCUCAAGUGUAUUUAACGUGCUGUUUGACCAGCCCAAAAGAAACCUUGUAAAGAUCUGCCACUAUAGGAACAGAGGAUCAGAUGAAGCUUUAUUGUCUGUCCCUUUUUAGCCACAGCCACGAGUCACUGUGGAAACAGUGUGAAACAGGUCAUUUUCAUUUGAACACAAUCCCCUAUAAUAAACAUGUAUUGUUUGGAUAUGCUGUUAAUUUCUUAUUAACAUCUUUCUUGUGCAUGAGUGUAUAUGCCAUGUAAUAUACAUAUAUAUUUUUUGCUUUAGAAAAGUAACUACUGUCGGGUUUUUCUGUGUGUUUUGUUUUGUCGUUUGAUGGAUUAAAAGUCAUCUUAUGAGAUAGACGUGUGCUAUGCACAGUUUGUUUUUUCUGUUAGCUUACACAGCCACCCAUGGCUGGGGGUAAAAAUGAUGAGUACAUACCAAAUAAACUCUUGCAUCUUAUUACAGCCUGAGAAUAAAAAAAAUACUGUGCUUUCCGUCAUUUAUUUUCACAUUAAAUUUGAGAGGUAAAUUAAUACUUCAAAGUGAGAAGUUACAGAAAAGUUUUAACAUUUAAACUAUGUAUUAAUUUCAAGGCCUAAAUGCGCCCUCAAUUAUUUUACCAUUGCCCCUAAGUAAUUGAUUUUGGGUAGAGAAAGCGAGAGGUGCUGGGGUGAUCUGUGUUGAUGUGUGAAAAUCACAAAGCCAAUAAAUGAAAAAUAACUGACGUCGUAAUUGCUGUGAGUGUUGUAACCUUGCUUUAUUGAUUUUUUUUUUCAUCAAGGCAUUUUGCUAGCAUCAAAGUUGGGCCCAUAAUAACAUAAAUUGUUUCACUGCUGUCUGUAAUAAUUUAUAUAUUUCUUUCACUCAUUUUCAGCCUCUCAUUGACUUGUUCAGGUGUGUGCAGCUCGCCACACAAAGACAAACGCUCAUCCAGCAGCGUGCGGCUUGUGCCGUGGUACAGACAAAGAGGGAACAUGUAAAGAGACUAGAUAAUGAGUAUCUCAGGUGACUACAUGCUGUGAUUACCAGGUUGCUGGUUGUUAUAUAGGAACUAUAUUACAUAGACAUGCAGUCCCACUCUAUGCACACGUUCAGACCCACACGUUCUGCACAUGCACACACACGAACACACACUCUUGAGAGAUCCUUGGUUAUCACACCCUUCCAGAUUGUUCUGAACUACUUAUGGAAAACACACACACAUCUCAAGAUGUGGCCACUCUUGCCAAUAUGAGCCCAGUGUUAAGAACAGUUGUUGUCGUUGUCGUCGUGUGUUUUUUUUUAGCAUCUCUAAAUUCCUAGCGUUGCUAAGGUGCUUUGGGAGGGGAUUAACAGAGGCUGGCGCCGAUGAGCAAGCCUUCCAGAUUUCCAACCAGUAGCGAAAAGACAAAGAAAGAGGGGGGAGAGAAAAAAAGAGGAAAAACAGCAGAGGGUUAGACAACGGGGAAAUGGCAGUAACAGCUUGUGUAAACAUGAUGACUUGAGAGAGGUAAAGAGGUAGAAACAAAUGAGGGAUAAGUAACAGAAAGUGAGACUAAAUAAUAAGUGUCCUAAAGAGCAGGCCUCAAUUUUCACACAGGAAAGUGGGGAAGUGCUCUCCCUUUGCUUUUCCUCCCUGUCCUCUUUGCCUGUUUUUCUCCACCGAAUUUCCUUCUCCUCACUCUGUGUUCCCUCCUCUCUGUUUCUUCCCAUCUCUUUAUUCCCCCAAGGCCUACAGUUAGAUCCAGACGCUUUUGUCUCUCGUUCUCUCUGUCACAACUUCAAACAGUGCCGGUGUUCAGGUCAUGCUGAUGUGCCCGGAGCAUCAGUGACUGAGCUGUCUCAGGUGAACGUCUCCCAGCGUGUCCUUGAUGACACUCUCUCCCUUUCUCCCAUCUCGCCGCUUCUAAUUAGUGUGGUGAGCUGCGGAGGCAGUGCAGGCAGCUGAGCCACAUUUACCAAUCCUCAGUCUUACUCGUACGUACAGUAACGCAGUGAAGGCAGCUCUUAUAAUGUUUCUGCAGCACUUACACAUGUGAACUGGCCUUUGUUUUCACUAAAUCCCUGGUUACACACUCGGAAGAAAUCAGAAUGUAGUUCUUCGCCAAAGAAAGUACACCAAAGGGAGGGAGGUCCACAAGCUUUUCUUUGAAUCCUCUCCUCAGGCUCAGCUUCUCAGGUAAAGUGUAACUGGAUGCGGCCUGUUUGUGGAAUACAAGGCACUUGACCAAGGGCCAGCACUACUCCUCCCUCACCUCCCAUCCCCUCCCUCCCUAUCCUUCCCCUACCUGGGUCGGGUUACCCUUCAGCCCCCCUCCUCCCUUCCUUUCCUUGAAUGGUGGCAGGUAGUCUGUUUUGCAGCCCCAUCGGUGUCUGUGGAUGUUGAAAAGCAUGUGUCUGUAUGUUUGUAGUCUAUCCCAGACAGGUGUUUGUGACUCUGUUUGGGCUCGUCGGCCGGGCUCCUGUAACUGUGCCCGUCGCCGCUGCGCUGGCUAAUGUGACUGGGUUGGCCGAGGUACGGAGGCGGCUGUCUUUCAACCAAUGAUCCCUCAGAACUACUCAUCUGAUCAGGCUGGAUCUGCGCUUCACGGCUGCCGGGGUCACACAACCCAACCCCGGGGUCAACCAACUAAUUACAGACCCCUGUGUCCUCCGUCUCUGUCACCACCGGGGAUAUGGGGAAGGUGGGCAGGAGAGGGAAGAAGCCUGAGAGAGGUGGUGAGAAAAAAAAAGACACAAUAUUGACUUUGACAUCAAAAGGUCAACAGUGAGGAUAACCAAGCAGUAUAUUGUUUUUUUUUCUCUUGAAAAGAGAAGAGUGUGAGGAUCUGGUUUGCAGCAUCUUGGUCACACCCAUUAUAGCCCUCAGGCAGACACAGAAGCUUAGACCCUUGAGACCAGAGUUGCAUCAUUGUAUGCGGAUUUAUGUAUCAGCCUCCCACUAACUUUUCAUCUAGCUGUGUGCUAGGCUCUCUAUAUCUUUCCCCUUGUCUUUUUUAAACUGAUUUAUUGUAGCAGCCUGGCAUAUUACCCUUAUCACAACUCCAGGUGAGACAAACGCUGCUGUUAAGAAAAUUUCAGGUUUUGUGCAUGAUUUCUUCUACCCCGACCUUUCGCUUGCCACUAUUGACUGAACUGGGAUACCACACACAGGAACCAGUGAGAGCACACAUGCAUAUACACAUACAAAAAAAUAAAAAAUAAGCCACUAUUACAUUAUAUUAGGCUGCAGGUUCAUUAAUCACAAAUGCGAGGGCUUCUCAGCCAACGUAGGAAAUUAAUCAAAAAAGGGGACAUUAAUCACAUGCAUGAACAGCAGUAGUUACACCUGUGACAAUGCCAUCUGAUUUAAACGCGUUACUCCAGCCUGUGUUAAUGAUGCCACCCAGGGCCAAGCAAAGCAACCUCUCUGCCAUCACUGAAACAAUAAUGCACUAACUAUGAAGCAAUUUUCUUACAUGUUGUGAAGGGUUAUGCUGAUGCACAUUGCACAGGGGUCAGUGGGUGUUGCAGCAAUUACCAGGUGCAGCUUUUUCCUCACAGCUUGACCACUGGGUUUUUCACUCUGACUGUUGAAAUGUCUGUUCAAAUUACAUUAGUCAUACUUCAUUUUUUCUCUCUCUCUCUCUCGCCGUUGUGCCCCUGACAAAUAGGCUAUUAAACUGAAACAAAAAAACAAGUUGCUGUUGGAAAGGUUUUAUUUGCAAAGAUUUAUAUAAAAUACUACAUGUACAGGUGUAUUCUAACACUGUAAUAUUGUUUAUACGAGAGAUGCAGAAAUAGGGGCAAGCAUCAAGGAAGGCCUGCAUGUGUGGUUACACUGCCCUCUUUUGAAUGCACUGCAGUGUACCCUAGUAAUCUGCAGCAGGAGGGAAAGAUAAAGAAAUACAGAUGUAUAAUUAAUAGUUCGACAUCUCACACAAAGGAUGUCCCUUUAAAAAGAGGAGAACGGCACAUGUGGCACAGCCUGAUACAAUGUGGCUAAAUCAGUAAGUAAUAUAUCAUUAUUUGUUUUUGUUAAAUUUUUCACCUACAGCACAAUCUCAUGUCAAGUCAAAAGUAAUGGAUUACCUGUUUCUUUUUCUAAUACAUUAACAAACCCAUAACAAAUGUAACAUAAUGAAUCUCAUGAAUUAAAACAUAUCUCAUUCAUUUUAAU
ensembl:lncRNA